GAGAGAGUGAACUGCAUGUGACAAACGUUGGUCACAUCACUUAAUGUUCUGCUGGAGGACGCUCACAUUAUGGUGAUGAGGGAAGCUUAAAAACCUGUAUAACCCAAACAGAAGCCUGAUCUCUCUCCUUUUCACAGGAGUGGGGCUUCCCAGCCCCUCAGCAAGCUCUCCAUUACUAUUGAACCCAUUCCUUUUGUGCUUUUGAAGGGGCCUCCAGGUAGGGUCAGACUUCCCUGUCUACCCCUUUUCCCCUUUCAGGUGUGUGGCUGUGCUCACCAGGUGCUCUACCUUCCUCUCUCGCUGUCAGGUGACGUCUGUGGGGUAAUGCUGACCUGGACCAUAUUUCUUCUGAGCGGAAAUAUGGACCAUGCAACAUCGAGGUUGAUUGCAGGAGUGCUGUUCUUUAUUUUCAUUCUGCUCAAACGUGAAGAAGAGCUCUGUGAGAUGCAUAUCUCUUUGGAGGUGUAACACGUUUCCUCGGUCUGAUUGAGCUUUUACUCUAGAGCUCUGCCCUGUUACUCCACUCUGCCCACUUGAGUUAGUUCCCACCAUCCUGGAAAAUAGAUGGAGCCUCUCUAACUGGUCAAAGCCCAUUUGUGCAGCGCUUGAUUAUUCGAAGUUCAACCAGUGAAGGGUUACAACUAAAUCUAAAGCGUUUUCUUCCUCAAGUAGAGGAAGUGGACAAAGAAGAUGUUAAAGAAGCAGAAGCUCCAAGAUAGCCUGCCAGUGUAUUAUACUGCAAAUUCUCCUAGCAUUUUCUAUUCAAGAAUCCCCAGGAGUAUUUAAAAAUAUGUUUUCCUAUUAGUUUGUUUGUUUACUCUCAGAAAUUGGUGGGGUAGCCCUGAUCUCAUCUUUUUUUAAAAAGUUAAUAAAUGUCAUGUUUGAGAUUUCAUUUUUAAUUCCUGCAGUAUCAAAGGUACCUUUAGACUUUGAGCCACUUUGUUUCCUCCGUGUGCAGGUGAAAGCUUUCAUCAAGUUCAGUUUGUUACACAUUGUAUUGUAAUUUAACCAAAACUUACUUUAUUAUAAAUUCCCAUCAUUAUUGUAUAACCUUCCAGGGCAAUAGUCUCAUAAUUAUGCAUGCUUAAUUCUUCAUUAGUACUAUUGGGAAUGAUGAGCCCAGUCCUUCAAGGUGCUGAGUAUGUUCUAUUCCAGUUGAAACCAAUGGGAAUAGAGUACUUGGCACUUUGCAGGAUUGGGUCCUGUGUAAGCUUUAAUGCACGAUAGUUGAAAUAGUUCAUUUUGUGGGAGAUGGAUGUAGGUUUACUAGACAGAAAUGGGUCACAUUCUACUUUCUGUAACACCAGUAUAAAAGUGGAAUAACUCCACUGCAGCCAGUUGGUGUUACUCCUGAAAUUUGCUGGAAAUAUCAUUCUGCUCUGCACACGGGGGGAGGGGAUUGCAAGGAGGUAUAAGAUUUUUUUUGUACUUCUGCGAUACAUGGGCCUUUGAAUGAAGGAUAGCCCCUGGGAUAAGAGGUACUUAUCUUUCGUUAAGAUGAAGACAUUCUGUUAAAGGAAGAGAGAGAGAAAGAUCAUGUGGAUAUGCAUAAAUAUCCUGUUUGUUCAGUUCUAAAACGGUUAACGACUGGAGCUUGGGUUCUAGGACUCUGCGAGGUGGCAGGAUACCAGAUCUGUAGCCUGAGCUGAACAUCUACACUGCAGUUAGACAGCCCCUUAGCCUGAGGCCUGUGAGCCUACGUUAACUGGCAUGGGCCAGCUGCAGGUGUCUAAUUGCAGUGACUAAUGUCUAAUAGACAUACCCUGAGAAGGCUUCCCCCCCCUCCCUUGUCUUCCAUCUGACACUAUAGAAGACACCCCCCCACCCCCCACCUGCAUGGGGGGCUGGGCACAGUGAAGCCUGUGGUGGAGUGCUGUUCCUGAGGUCAUCUGUUUGCUUGCAGGGAUUUCCUUGCAUAAGAAUGACAAUAGGUAGCAUUCUUACAUAGAUUUCCCAUGCAGACUCUGUAACAGCCCUGGGGUUGUAGGACAUGUGUGAGUAGGGAAUGAGUAGUAUCUGGGAGCUGUAUUGCUAUGGGCAUAGUGAUGGGCCAGACCUGCAUAUGUGCACUGCAGUUUGUAGAAUUUACCUGACUACUUCAGGACAUCUCUGCAUCUGGCGGCCCAGAGCCCCCUGACAGAACAAUGUAAAGGAAACUCAGUGACUUUCCUGUCUCUUCUGCAUGCUUUACCUGCGUGACCCUUCAAUUCUUGGCCAACAAAAAUGAUUAUUAGAGUUGGCUGAAAGAUGUUUAAUUGAGAGAUGGCUUUUUUAUGUGAAAAAUAUGUAAAAAGAAAUUGAUCUGCUAAAAGUAAAUGAAAAAUUUAUAGUUUUUGAUUGAUUACAAAAACUCAAAAAUUGGGACUGGUUUCAAACCCCUUAAACUGCAAACAACUUUGGAAUUUUUUGCAGAAUUAGUGUUUAACUUUUUUGACCAGCUGUAGAGUUAUGCAAUCAGUUGAAUCAAUAACACUGAAAGCUUUUGGCACCAACUAGCAGUUACUAUUAAUCAUUGUAAUUCAAAAAUUGACCAUUAUAUUUACCUCAGAGUUGAUGUGAUUAAUAUGGUACAUGUGGGCUGUAAUUAAAUGUCUUUUUUUCUCCCCAACAUACUGCUUGAGUAAAAGCUUUGAUUCUGUAGCAUAAAAACAUGAAAUUUUAAGUAGUUGACGGAAAAUAAUUUUACUCCACUUUACUGUGUAUAAAAACAAACAAAAACCGCUCUGCCAAAGCAUUAUCAACUCACUGAUCAUAACCAGCAGGUGGCAUUCAUCUUCUGUGCAGAACAGUUCAACUUAAUUUGUCAUUCUGUGUUUUCUCAAGUCGUCAAAGCACAGAUCAAGAAAAUUGAGACCAAGAACUUUACAUGAUUCAGAGUGGAAACUGGAUAUUUAUAUGAAUAUCCAGAAAUCUAGAGUUUUCAAUGACAAAAAUAUUAAACCUUGUGGUCCAGGGUCUAAAACAAUCUCUCAAUACUAGCGAUCAGGAUGAGGCCUAAUGUAGGAGGCAGAUAAUCCCUCAUCCUUCUUCUGAAGUAUCUAACUACUGUCAGAGACAGGAUGCUGGUCCAUGUGGACCUUGUCACCUGAUCCAUUGGCCCCCUCAAAUCAAAGGGAGUCCUUCUAUUGACUCUCUUUCAGGCAGGAGGUGAAUAAAUACUGUCUUGGUUUGGAGCUAAAAUCCAGUGCGACUUUAUUGCACGAUACUUUUUCCCUCAAGUAAUCUUUUUUGCCACCAAAAAUUUUACCAAGAUAUGAAUAUUAAGACCUGGGUUAAUUUGAUGUUCAUGAAAGUGAGUGGCUGACAUUACUAGCAAAAAUAGUGUCCAAUUAUGUGAUGUGUUUGAAGAUGUAGACUCAUCUGCUAGGCUGAAACAUCCAACUUGCUUUAAAUGUUGACUAAAUUAGGAGUUGGACCAAAUUCCAGAGAGUUGACAAGCUAAUCCACUGUAUCACCUGUCCUUAUAGAAAUGGCUGUAUUCUAGUUUAAAGUAGUGGAAAUAUAGAUAUUAAUUAAAACAAUCUGUAAAUAUCAUAGA